AGAUGCUGUCAUUUUCAGAAGAAGCUGAUGUAAAUGCCUCUACAACCUAAAGCCCAGACGGAGUCUUGCUCUGUCGCCAGGCUGGAGUGCAAUGGCACAAUCUCAGCUCACUGCAACCUCCGACUCCCGGGUUCAAGCAAUUCUCCUGCCUCAGCCUUGCGAAUAGCUGGGAUUGGUGGCACGCACAACCACGCCCAGCUAAUUUUUGUAUUUUUAGUACAGACGGAGUUUCACCAUGUUGGCCAGGAUGGUCUCGACUCCUGACCUCGUGAUGCGCCCGCCUCAGCCUCCCAAAGUGCUGGGAUUACAGGCGUGAGCCACCGCGCAUGGCCACUUGCACUGCUUUUUAGCAGCGAGCUCUCAGGUCAAUCAACUGCUUCCUUAGGUUUACAAACUGUGGGUGUGUAUUUAUAAACACAGUUGUUUUGUAUAUCCUUUGUAGAGCACGUGGUGAAAGUGACACAGGAAUAAAUGCAAACCUUUUUUUCCCCUUCUUUUUUCAAAGACAUAAAUCCCAGGAACACUCACAACCGCAGAAGGGGAUUUGAUGGACAUACAAAGAAACUAAAUUUUGUACCGCCGCAGAAGUGAAGCAUGGAUAAGCUCAAAGGUAUUUAGGCAGUGUUUUAUUUCAAGAUUUGUUAUGGGGACCUCCGCCACGCCCUGGUCCGCCUUCACCAGGCCGGGCAACACUGCCCAGUCCCUGAGACCCGGCCGCCCACUAGGGAGCCGCGGGGGCGAGGCCGUGGGGGUGGCCUCGGGGAGGAGGUCCCGAGAACCACACUUCCCAGAGUGCCGUGCGCAGCCCCGCCCAGCCCGCCCCGCCCCCAGAGGCCGCGGCUCGCGGGGGCUGAGGCGAGAGGACGCCAAGCGCCCGCCGGGGCUCCGCGGGGCCGCGCAGGAGAGCGCGCGUCCGCCGGGUGCUCGCGCGGGGUUGGUGAGGUUCCGCUGAGGGCGGCCGGGGCUCUGGGAGCGUGGUAACGUGGCUGCAACCUUAGCGACAUCAGGAAGAACAGGGUCGAGGAUCGAGGUAACGGGACGCUCGUCUCCCCUCAGUCCCCUCGUCUCCCCUCAGUCCCCUCUUCCUUUGUGCGGUGCCGUCCGCUCGCGCCGAGCCCUCCCUCACCCCAGCCCCCAAGUCGCAACACCGUCCCGUCUUGGGUCUCCGGUGUGCGGAGGAAAUUCGAGCCCUCGUGCACCAACCGAAACUCCACAGCUGAGAGGGCUUGGGGCCCGGACAGCAGGAGAUCCAGCCCCUGAGCAACCUUCCACGGCUUUUGUCGCCCCCAUUGGCGGGAGGAGCAGGGUUAUGCUCCCGGCUCCCGUAGGGGAGCUCCAGCCUCUGGCUCUGUCAGCCUCCCCGGCAGCUCCUUGACUCCUUCCUCCCAGUCUUUCGAAGAGGGGCCCAGGCAGGUGCUUCGCGGGGUCCAGGAAGAGGGCAGGCGCGGUGCGGCUGGCGCGGGUUCGGGGCCCCGGGAGGGCGGCCGGACGCCCCCUGGAGCCGCGGCCUGCGGGGGCGGGGCGAGUGGGCCACCUCCGGGCCACGCCGCGCGGGGACGAGGCGAGGAAGGCACUGCCUGUCCCCACUCGGGGGGCUUGCUGGCCGCCCUGGAGGUGCCUUCCCGGGAGCGGCGGUGUAGACCUUGUGGAGAGUGCCUCCUGAUGUGGAACCAGGAACCGCAGCCUCUUUCUAGACGCUCAGCCGCCCGGUGGAGUUGUUACCGCCACGAUGACAGCUCUUUACGCCUUCCACUCCGUGCUGGGUUCAGUUGGCUUGCUGUUUUCUUCAGAGAGAGCGAUUUGGCUACAUAGCUUGAAUUUUCUACGUGUCUCGUGCUUUACUGGACUUGCACUGUUUUUCCCUCUUGGCAGUGUUUAAUCGGGUGACUUUUCAUAGAAAACGUUCAGUAUUUUCAUCUGUGUU
rnacentral:lncRNA from 1 species